rnacentral:rRNA from 1 species
CAGCAGCAGCCACGGGAAUACGGAGGGGGCUAGCGUUGUUCGGAAUUACUGGGCGUAAAGCGCACGUAGGCGGCUUGGUAAGUUAGAGGUGAAAGCCUGGAGCUCAACUCCAGAAUUGCCUUUAAGACUGCCGAGCUAGCAGGUGAGAGAGGUAAGUGGAAUUCCGAGUGUAGAGGUGAAAUUCGUAGAUAUUCGGAAGAACACCAGUGGCGAAGGCGGCUUACUGGCUCAUACUGGACGCUGAGGUGCGAAAGCGUGGGGAGCAAACAGGAUUAGAUACCCCGGUAGUCCCUGUCUCUUAUAC